AGUGAACGCUGGCGGUAGGCCUAACACAUGCAAGUCGAACGGCAGCACAGUAAGAGCUUGCUCUUACGGGUGGCGAGUGGCGGACGGGUGAGGAAUACAUCGGAAUCUACUUUUUCGUGGGGGAUAACGUAGGGAAACUUACGCUAAUACCGCAUACGACCUACGGGUGAAAGCAGGGGAUCUUCGGACCUUGCGGGAUUGAAUGAGCCGAUGUCGGAUUAGCUAGUUGGCGGGGGAAAGGCCCACCAAGGCGACGAUCCGUAGCGGGUCUGUGAGGAUGAUCAGCCACACUGGAACUGAGACACGGUCCAGACUCCUACGGGAGGCCGCAGUGGGGAAUAUUGGACAAUGGGCGCAAGCCUGAUCCAGCCAUACCGCGUGGGUGAAGAAGGCCUUCGGGUUGUAAAGCCCUUUUGUUGGGAAAGAAAAGCAGCAGGUUAAUACCCCGCUGUUCUGACGGUACCCAAAGAAUAAGCACCGGCUAACUUCGUG
rnacentral:rRNA from 1 species